UGGGGAAUAUUGGACAAUGGGCGAAAGCCUGAUCCAGCCAUGCCGCGUGUGUGAAGAAGGUCUUCGGAUUGUAAAGCACUUUAAGUUGGGAGGAAGGGCAGUAAGCGAAUACCUUGCUGUUUUGACGUUACCGACAGAAUAAGCACCGGCUAACUCUGUGCCAGCAGCCGCGGUAAUACAGAGGGUGCAAGCGUUAAGCGGAAUUACUGGGCGUAAAGCGCGCGUAGGUGGUUCGUUAAGUUGAAUGUGAAAGCCCCGGGCUCAACCUGGGAACUGCAUCCAAAACUGGCGAGCUAGAGUAGAGCAGAGGGUGGUGGAAUGUCCUGUGUAGCGGUGAAAUGCGUAGAUAUAGGAAGGAACACCAGUGGCGAAGGCGACCACCUGGGCUCAGACUGACACUGAGGUGCGAAAGCGUGGGGAGCAAACAGG
rnacentral:rRNA from 1 species